UACGAAGGGGGCUAGCGUUGCUCGGAAUCACUGGGCGUAAAGGGUGCGUAGGCGGGUCUUUAAGUCAGGGUGAAUCCUGGAGCUCAACUCCAGAACUGCCUUCGAUACGUGUUUGGCUUGAGACCGGAAGAGGUUAGUGGAACUGCGAGUGUAGAGGUGAAAUUCGUAGAUAUUCGCAAGAACACCAGUGGCGAAGGCGGCUGACUGGUCCGGUUCUGACGCUGAGGCGCGAAAGCGUGGGGAGCAACAGGG
rnacentral:rRNA from 1 species